rnacentral:tmRNA from 1 species
GGGGGCGUAAUGGUUUCGACGGGGAUUAUGAAAACAAGAUAAGCCAUCCGAGGCGGUGACCUCGUUAAAACGCUAAAACUUAAAAUAUUCGACAACGAUAAUUUAGCUUUUGCGGCUUAGUUAAAGCCGCCGUCGGCCUCAGAGCUCCCUCCGGCUGAGAAUCCGGCGUCGUAAGGAGGGGAACUUUUCCGGUCAAGCUUUGCCCCGGAAAAAGCCCUAUGAAGCUACCUCCGCAUUAAGCGCGCGGGUUCGCGUUUUGCGGAGGGAAUCCUAAACAUCCCGCUAUGAUGGUAGAAAGUUUUGAGGAAUGAUUUUCGGACAGGGGUUCGACUCCCCUCGCCUCCA